rnacentral:rRNA from 1 species
AUUGAACGCUGGCGGAAUGCUUUACACAUGCAAGUCGAACGGCAGCACGGGGGCAGCCCUGGUGGCGAGUGGCGAACGGGUGAGUAAUACAUCGGAACGUGCCCGGCCGUGGGGGAUAACGUAGCGAAAGUUACGCUAAUACCGCAUACGAUCUGAGGAUGAAAGCGGGGGACCUUCGGGCCUCGCGCGAUCGGAGCGGCCGAUGUCAGAUUAGGUAGUUGGUGGGGUAAAGGCCUACCAAGCCGACGAUCUGUAGCUGGUCUGAGAGGACGACCUGCCACACUGGGACUGAGACACGGCCCAGACUCCUACGGGAGGCAGCAGUGGGGAAUUUUGGACAAUGGGCGCAAGCCUGAUCCAGCCAUUCCGCGUGCAGGACGAAGGCCUUCGGGUUGUAAACUGCUUUUGUACGGAACGAAAAGGCUCUGGCUAAUACCUGGGGCUCAUGACGGUACCGUAAGAAUAAGCACCGGCUAACUACGUG